ACUGGCAACCUUGGUACGGGAUCGGACAAACGUCAACGCGUUGGCGCCGAAAAAGAAUUGUCAUUGUUAGAAAAUUGAUCGAAACUGCGACACGUUUUUUCUUGACCUGGCAGUUAGUUAGUUUGUAGUGAAUUGUUUUUAGCGAAAACAGUAUGUAUUUGAUCAUUAGUUAUUUGAUCAUCUUUUAAUGUAUUUUUUAUAGUAGGUGGAAGCUAUUUGGCCAGUUGCGCGUGAUUUUUGUGCUCGCGGUUUAGUGAGUCGGAAGAGGUUAGGUGAUAGAAAUUCCUUACUGCGCAAUUUGCCACUAAAAUAUUGUAUUUCCUUUGAUAGUUUGAGUGACCGUUCGGUUGUUCCGGUUAGGUGUACCGGGUUGAGCUCAAUUAGAGCGGUAGGAAAGAAAAAGCCUUCAAAUAGCCGGUGAUAUCCGACGGUUUAGGGUUGCCAGAGCUAGAGCUUAGGGUAAACGGCGAAACUUAUUUUCGAGUUCGUUCGCAUACAACGUACUACGGAACAGUUUUUAUUUCCCACAAAUCUCGAAAAUAAAGCUGCAACGAGCAACCUAAACCUGGAACCGAUGAUGGAAGGCCCUACCGGAGAGCUGUUCAACUGCGU